rnacentral:piRNA from 1 species
UACCAGAGGGAAUCUUUAGUUUUUCAGGA